AGCAUACGCAAGGCAUUUUCAGGUUCCGGGGAAUUUCAAAUUUACAGAUUUCGCAUCAUCAUCCAAGUAUCGCAUUCACUAUCAGACUUAUUAAAUGCCUGUCACUACGAACCGGGCAUCAACUUUCAAUGUAGGGCAGUAACUGCUUGAUCCAAGGGAAACUGACUGCCAUUAUGGGGUCAAGAAGGAAUUUUUUCCCAGCUUGUUGUAAAUUGGCAGCGCUUCAAUCUGGGUUUUUUGCCUUCUUUUGGAUCAACCGUUUAACACAAAUGUGAGGAAGGCUGUACUUGAUGGGCACUGGCCAUUUUAAUUUUAUAAUCCAGUUGUUUGAGCCACUAUUCUUGCUUCCACAGUUUUUUGGGUCUCACAUUCUUUCCUACAGCCACCACGUCCUUCUUGCAGCAUUAUUUUAGGAAGUCUCACCUAUUCAUGCAGCCUACUUAUUACCUUCUCUACCCCACAUUUAGUCUGCCCU